AGAGAUAGAGUGAGGUGGGAAGGAAAGGCAGAAAAACGUUUAACUUCUUUCUAAGAACCAACAUUCCCUUGUGUUUUUAUUCUUCCAUUAAGCUGAUCCAGAUGGUUAGCAGAGGUCUUCCUCCAGGCAGAGAUCGCUGCCUUCCUGGGCACUGUUGCUGGCCUCCUACGACCAAUAAAGGGUUUGAAGUCCUGAAGAAAUACCUUGACGGUGGCGGUGAUAUCCUUGUGAUGCUAGGAGAGGGUGGGGAAUCCAGAUUUGACACCAAUAUUAACUUUCUUCUAGAAGAAUAUGGAAUCAUGGUUAAUAAUGAUGCUGUGGUUAGAAAUGUAUAUUAUAAGUAUUUCCAUCCUAAGGAAGCUCUAGUUUCCAACGGAGUCCUGAAUAGGGAAAUUAGCCGAGCUGCAGGGAAGGCCGUGCCUGGAAUCAUUGAUGAGGAAAGCAGUGGAAACAAUGCCCAG